AGAGUUUGAUCAUGGCUCAGGAUGAACGCUAGCUGCAGGCUUAACACAUGCAAGUCGAGGGGCAGCGGGAUUGAAGCUUGCUUCAAUUGCCGGCGACCGGCGCACGGGUGAGUAACGCGUAUCCAACCUUCCGUACACUCAGGGAUAGCCUUUCGAAAGAAAGAUUAAUACCUGAUGGUAUGAUGAAAUUGCAUGAUAGCAUCAUUAAAGAUUUAUCGGUGUACGAUGGGGAUGCGUUCCAUUAGGUAGUAGGCGGGUAACGGCCACCUAGCCUACGAUGGAUAGGGUUCUGAGAGGAAGGUCCCCCANAUUGGAACUGAGACACGGUCCAAACUCCGUACGGGAGGCA
rnacentral:rRNA from 1 species